rnacentral:rRNA from 1 species
UACGAAGGGGGCGAGCGUUGUUCGGAAUCACUGGGCGUAAAGGGUGCGUAGGCGGGUCUUUAAGUCAGAGGUGAAAUCCUGGAGCUCAACUCCAGAACUGCCUUUGAUACUGAGGAUCUUGAGUUCGGGAGAGGUGAGUGGAACUGCGAGUGUAGAGGUGAAAUUCGUAGAUAUUCGCAAGAACACCAGUGGCGAAGGCGGCUCACUGGCCCGGUACUGACGCUGAGGUGACGAAAGCGUGGGGAGCAAACAGG